rnacentral:rRNA from 1 species
GCGCCCCAUCUAUGAUGUCUUGGCUCUCGCAUCGAAGAAGAUCAUAUCAAAAUACGAUACUUGGUGUGAAUUUUAGAAUCCCAUGAACCAUAGAUUAUUUGAACGUAAGUUACACCCGAAGCCAUUAGGCCGAGGGCACGUCUACCUGGGCAUCACGCAUCGCAUCGCCCCCUUGCAUCGCGCAUCAAUCAUGGGGCAUGCUGUUGUCGUGGGGCGGAUACUGUCCUCCCAUGAACCUCGAGCUCGCGGAUGGCUUAAAUGCGAGUCAACGUUGAUGGAUGUCACGGAAAGUGGUGGUUGUAUCUCAACUCUCUUUGUUGUCGCGGCUAAAGCCCGAAGCGCGUCUGGACUCCAGGACUCUUUCACGCUUAGGCAUUCCGACCGCGACCUCAGUUCAGGCAGGAUUAACUGCUGAGUUUAAGAAUAUUAAUAAGAGAAGGAAAGGGAACUUACAAAGAUUUCCUUAGUAACGACGAGCGAACCGGGAACAAUUCAGCCUUAGAAUCGGGCGGCUCCAUCAUCCGAAUUAUAGUUUGGAGAAGCGUCCUCAGCAGCGGACCGAGACCAAGUCCCCUGAAAGGGGGCGCCAGAGAGGGUGAGAGCCCCAUUAUUCCUGAACCCUGUCGCACCACGAGGCACUAUCUACGAGUUGGGUUGUUUGGAAAUGCACCCUAAAUUGGGCGGUGAAUUCUAUCUAAGGCUAAAUAUAAGCGACAGACCGAUAAUGAACAAGUACCGCGAGGGAAAGAUGAAAAGGACUUUGAAAAGAGAGUCAAAAAAUUCUUAAAAUUAUCGGGAGGGAAGAGGUUGGGGGCCGACGAUGCAGCCUAAUCAAAUGUAGAAUGGCGACGAGCUGGUCCGCCGAUCGACUCGGGGUGUGGACCAGCAUGGAUUUGGGGUCAGCUAAAGCCCGGGCUUUCAAUAUGCUUGUGGAAUGCUGUCUCCUCAAUUGUGGCAGGCAGCGCGCGCCUUCUGUGUUCUUUGGCAUCUGCGCGCUACUGACGCUGGCCUGUGGGCUCCCCAUUUGACCCGUCUUAAAAAAUGGACCAAGGAGUCUGACAUGUAUGCGAGUCAAUGGACGAGUAAACCCGUAAGGUGUAAGAAAGCUGAUUGGUGGUAUCCCCCCGAGGGGUUCACCAACGAUCGACCUUGAUCUUCUGAGAAGGGUUUGAUCGUGAGCAUACCUGUUGGGACUCGAAAGAUGGUGAACUAUGCCUUAGUGGGGCGAAACCAGAGGAAACUCUGGUUGAGGCCCGCAGCGAUACUGACGUGCAAAUUCUUCAUCUAACUUAGGUGUAAGGCCUGCGGCUGCUGUGUCGAGCUGUGCUAAGGAAUCAAGAGCUCUAAGUAGGCCAUAAUUGGUAAGCAGAACUGGCGAUGCGGGAUGAACCGAAAUCAGGGUUACGGUGCCAAGCUGUGCGCUAACCUAGAUCCCACAAAGGGUGUUGGUCGAUUAAGAUAGCAGGACGGUGGUCAUGGAAGCCAAAAUCCACUAAGGAGUGUGUAACAACUCACCUGUCAAAUAAACUAGCCUCGAAAAUAGAUGGCGAUUAAGCGCGCGACCUACACCCGGCUGUCGGGGAACGUUCCAGGCCUCGAUGAGUAGGAGGGCUCGACGGUCACUGUAAAACCUUGGGCGCGAGCCCGAGCAGAGCGUCUGUCGGUGCAGAUAUUGGUGGUAGUAGCAAAUAUUAAUAUGAGAACUUUGAAGGCCAAAGAGGGGAAAGGUUCCAUGUGAACAGCACUUGCAUAUGGAUUAGUCGAUCCUAAGGGUCGGGGAACCCCGAUAGAUAGCGCAUUUCACGCAUACUCCGAAAGGGAAUCAGGUUAAAAUUCCUGGACCAGGAUGUGGUGAUCGACGCCCAGUACGCGGCAUUUAUUGCUGGGCAUUGGGGCCGGUGCUGGGUGUACAUCAAUGGAGCAUUUGGACGCACGAUGCGUGAGUUGUGUUAGGUAUGUGAGGUUAGGUUAGAUCUAUGCUAGAGCAGCAAUGUCCUGACCCACCUGCCAUCUCAGUCGUGGGGUAAGCGCAAUUUAGGUUUGCUUGAAGUCGAUUUCCUAUGCUGCAUACCUAAUGCCCAGGCAUUAUCAAGUUUUAUCGAUCGUAUUUCACACCUCGCAUUUCGUGCAUGGGGUGAAUCAAAAGGCCGCCCUCAUGUCACAGGCCUUCCUCACUUCGUCGUGCGGUCAUGGUCCAUGAGCGGCGGUCAAGAUUCUCAAAUAUGAUAGACGCAGUGGGCAUGGGGUCUUUAUCGAUUCUUAUCUGUCCUGUACGAUGCUCUUUGCAAACAAUGGUCGUGCUCUCGUUCAAUCCGCCUGCGCCCUCACGGGCAGGCCGGGCUCAUGCGACGCCGAUGUCGAUGAGGAAUGCUACCUAGUUGAUCCUGCCAAUAUUCAUAUGCUUAUCUCAAAGAUUAAGCCAUGCAUGUGUAAGUAUGAAUAAAGUCAGACUGUGAAACUGCGAAUGGCUCGUUAAAUCAGUUAUAGUUUAUUUGAUGGUAUAUACUACUCGAAUAACCGUAGUAAUUCUAGAGCUAAUACGUGAAACAAACCCCGAAUUAUGAAAGGGAUGCAUUUAUUAGAUAAAAUCUCGAGAGGGAAUCUGCCUGUUGCUGCGAUGAUUCAUGAUAACUCAACGGAUCGCAUGGCCAUCAUGCCGGCUACGUAUCAUUCAAAUUUCCAUCCUAUCAAGUUUCGAUAGUAGGAUAGUGGCGUACUAGGUGGUGACGGGUGAUGGGUGACGGAGAAUUAGGCUUCGAUUUCGGAGAGAAAGCCUGAGAAAUGGCUACAACAUCCAAGGAAGGCAGCAGGGGUGCAAAUUACCCAAUCCUGACAUAGGGAGGUAGUGACAAUAAAUAACAAUACCGAGCUCAAUGAGUCUGGUAAUUGGAAUGAGUACCAUCUAAAUCUCUUAAUGAGGAUCCAUUGGAGGGAGAGUCUGGUGCCAGCGGCUGCUGUAAUUCCAGCACCAAUAGUGUAUAUUUAAGUUGUUUCAGUUAAAAAGCUCAAAGUUGGACUUUGGGAUUGGCUGGCCGGUCCGACUAUGGUGUGUAUCUGUCAUCUCAUCCCUUCUGUCGGCGAUGCGCUCCUGGCCUUAACUGGUUGGGUCGUGCCUUCGAUGCUGUUACUUUGA